GAGUAUAAAAGCACAGGGGAUAGGAAGCUUAGGAAUUCGCUUCCUCUUUGCCUGGUGGCUGCAGUGGCAGGUUGGCGUGGCUGGGUGCAGGAGGACAUUCCGAAAGGCUGUGGGCAAGCGCGGUUGUGGACAGGAGCGAUCGCACUGCGGCUGGUACCUGGAUGUGGAGUAUAGCCGCAGGGAUUGCAUCAUUGGCUGCCCCUCCUCCUCUACUCCGGAUAACACGGCGCGUUACCGGCACGGAUACAGGUGGCGACU